rnacentral:rRNA from 1 species
AAUUUUGGACAAUGGGGGCAACCCUGAUCCAGCCAUCCCGCGUGUGCGAUGAAGGCCUUCGGGUUGUAAAGCACUUUUGGCAGGGAAGAAAAGGCUCUGGCUAAUACCUUGAGCUGCUGACGGUACCUGCAGCAUACGCACCGGCUAACUCCGGGCCAGCAGCCGCGGUAAAACGUAGGGUGCAAGCGUUAAUCGGAAUUACGGGGCGUAAAGCGUGCGCAGGCGGUUCGGCAAGAAGGAGGUGAAAUCCCAGGGCUUAACCUUGGAGCUGCAUUCUUAACUGCCGGGCUAGAGUAUGUCAGAGGGGGGUAGAAUUCCGCGUGUAGCAGUGAAAGGCGUAGAGAUGCGGAGGGAUACCGAUGGCGAAGGCAGCCCCCUGGGAUAAUACUGACGCUCAUGCACGAAAGCGUGGGGAGCAAAC